rnacentral:rRNA from 1 species
CCCUUAGAUGUUCUGGGCUGCACGCGCGCUACACUGACUGGUGCAACAAGUGUCUGACCUUGGCUCGAGAGGCCUGGGCAACCUUUGAACGCCAGUCGUGCUGGGGAUAGAUUCUUGCAAUUAUUAAUCUUCAACGAGGAAUUCCUAGUAAACGCAAGUCAUCAGCUUGCAUUGAUUACGUCCCUGCCCUUUGUACACACCGCCCGUCGCACCUACCGAUUGAAUGGUCCGGUGAAAUCUCGGGACGGCGGCUUGGUCGCUUGCGUCCGACUGCUGAAACUUGAUUAAACCAUAUCAUUUAGAGGAAGGUGAAGUCGUAACA